rnacentral:rRNA from 1 species
CCUACGGGAUGCAGCAGUGGGGAAUAUUGCACAAUGGGCGCAAGCCUGAUGCAGCCAUGCCGCGUGUGUGAAGAAGGCCUUCGGGUUGUAAAGCACUUUCAGCGAGGAGGAAGGUGGUGAGCUUAAUACGCUCAUCAAUUGACGUUACUCGCAGAAGAAGCACCGGCUAACUCCGUGCCAGCAGCCGCGGUAAUACGGAGGGUGCAAGCGUUAAUCGGAAUUACUGGGCGUAAAGCGCACGCAGGCGGUUUGUUAAGUCAGAUGUGAAAUCCCCGGGCUCAACCUGGGAACUGCAUUUGAAACUGGCAAGCUAGAGUCUCGUAGAGGGGGGUAGAAUUCCAGGUGUAGCGGUGAAAUGCGUAGAGAUCUGGAGGAAUACCGGUGGCGAAGGCGGCCCCCUGGACGAAGACUGACGCUCAGGUGCGAAAGCGUGGGGAGCAAACAGGAUUAGAUACCCCAGUAGUC